GCUUCCCUCUCUCUAUAACUCUCCAAUCUCCAUCAACAUCAUCAAUCAUCAAUUCUCAAUCGGAUCUUUCACGACCCGAAUAAUUUCAACUCUCGUUUGAACAAAAACCUAACCCUAAUUCAUUAAUUUCCAAUUCAAAAACUCAUUCCGUUCACCCUCAGCCAUGGCCAGCGAUUCCAAUGAACCGUCACGUCGCAAGCACCGUCGAUCUUCUCCCUCCGAUGAAGACGACACCGAAGAACCAAUAAAACGCCGUAAGCACCGCCACCAUCACCGUCACCAUCGCCACCACCGCCACCACAGCAAAAAACACGAAGAGAAAUCCGAUUCGAAACCCGAUAAGGACACGGGUAAUCCGAAUGAUGAAAUAGAGGAUGUACCUCAACAAGUUGGUAUUGUUAUUGGCGUUUCUACUUUAGGGCUCGAUUAUGAUAUGGAGGAAGGUGAAAUUAUUGAGGAUGAUGUGGCGGCUACUGCUACAGUUGGUGAUGGUCAUGAAUUGGACAUGGAAUUGCAUGAAGCUCAACAACAGGGGCCUGCAGUGGAAAAAAUUGACCAGAAUUCCACUGCUUCAGGACGGCACGAUGAGCAAAGGAAAAGUAGGAAGGCUGAUAAUUCUAGAGAAAGAAAGUCUAGUGACAAGCAUUUUGCGAAUGGUAGUUGCAUAGAUGAAUUUCAUAAAUUGGACUCUAAACCACAGAAGAAAGAUAGUUAUGCUGGUGAAGAAGUUAGAAAACAAAAGAGCUACGAUGACGAUGAGAGCCAUUUACAGGAUCAAAGAAAAUCUUUGACUCCUGAAAGUUCUGGAAAGAGGCAUAGAUCUGUUGGGGUAUCAUCUUCUCACGAUGAGCACCUUGAAGAAAGACAUGUUACGAAGUUAUCCAAGUCACCUGACAGGUUUAGAGGAAGAUCACGAUCCAAAAGCGUAUUGGAGGAGUCUUUCCUUGUACCAAAGUCCCGUGAGAAAGAUGAUGCAUAUGAGAAGGAAAGCAGAUAUAGAAGUAACUUGGAUGAUGAAAAAAUUGGACACAACAAGGACUAUCGACAUGGGAGCCGAGAGUCUUCAAGGGAUAUUGAAAAGGAGCAUAAUUCUAGUUACAGCAGACACUCUAGGGACAGGUAUUAUAGAACGGAGAGUGUAGACAGGUAUCGGGAGAGUAGCAUCGAGAAUGAAAGGGAUAGAGUGAGAGAGAAAGACAGGGAGCGUGAGUUGGCUAGAGAAAGGGACAGAGAAAGGGGAAGGGAAAGAGAUAAGGAUAAGGAGAGGGAAAGGGAGAGGGAGAGAGACAGAGAGAGGGAAAGAGAGAAAGCUCGAGAUAGGGAAAGGGAGAGGGAUAGAGAACGGGAAUAUGAGAGGGGAAGGGAGAGGGGGAGGGAGAGAGAUAGAGAUAGAGAUAAUUUCAGAGAGAGGGAGGAGAGAGAAAGGAGGAAUAGGGAUAGGGAAAGCAGAGGACGAAGUAGGGAGGCAGAUAGAGAUAAAUAUAGUGAUAAGUCUAGCAGGCACCAGAGAUAUGAUGCCCUUGAUGAUGGUUUUGCUUAUAAUAGACGUAAUAGACAUAAUGAGACUGACAUUCAGAGAGAAAGGACGAGUGAUCACGCAAAAAAUGAAAACGCAAAGCAAAAAGCUGUAGAGGCAGACAGUGAGAAAUCAAAAAGAGAUGAAGUUGAACAAGAGGACUAUCAGGAAAAAAUUGCUUUCCAGCUUGCUGAACAGGAAGACGAAGAAGAACUUGAAAGAAUUAAGGAGGAGAGCAGAAGGCGCAGGCAAGCUAUUCUUGAAAAAUAUAAGAAUCAGCAGUCCCAGAAGGAGCCAAUUACUCAAUCCGGGGACGUAGCUGAGCUUCUUAUGGAUCAGUCUACUCAGAAGCCUGCAGCCGGAGAUAAUGCUGUGACAGUGUCAUUUGAUGGUCAAACCAAUGGUAUAGAUGUCCAUGUUGAUGAGCCAACGUUUUCUGUUGGGAAAUCACCUCUGCAAGUUGGUCAUAUUGCUGACGAGCAGGCUUCUGGAGCUGGUGGAUUGGGACAGGGUACACCAAAGAGUGAGAGGUCAGCUGACAUGUUUUGUGACGAUAUAUUUGGAGAAUCACCUGCUGGCAUCAGGAAAUUGGGCAAAGGAGAUGGCGUGGCAGUUCAGCGCAGUGGCCUUCAUGAUAACUGGGAUGAUCCAGAAGGGUAUUAUAGUUAUCGUUUCGGAGAAAUUCUUGAUGACCGUUAUGAGAUUGUUGCUGCUCAUGGUAAAGGAGUCUUUUCUACUGUUGUUCGGGCUAAAGAUCUCAAGGCUAGACCUGGUGACCCUGAGGAAGUAGCAAUAAAAAUGAUACGCAAUAAUGAAACGAUGUAUAAAGCUGGUAUGGAAGAGUUGAUCAUUUUGAAGAAGCUAGUUGGUGCAGAUCCUGAAGACAAGCGCCAUUGUGUUCGUUUUAUUUCUAGCUUCAAGUACCGGAAUCAUCUCUGUUUAGUUUUUGAGUCUCUACAUAUGAAUCUCCGUGAGGUUCUGAAGAAGUUCGGGCGUAACAUUGGACUCCAUCUCACUGCUGUUAGGGCGUUUUCGAAGCAACUUUUCAUUGCUUUGAAGCAUUUAAAAAAUUGUGGCGUGCUUCACUGUGACAUUAAACCCGACAACAUGUUGGUAAAUGAAUCGAAAAAAGUGUUGAAGCUUUGUGACUUUGGUAAUGCUAUGUUUGCUGGCAAAAACGAAAUUACUCCAUACCUCGUGAGCCGUUUUUAUCGUGCCCCAGAGAUCAUUCUUGGCUUGUCGUAUGAUCAUCCAAUGGAUAUAUGGUCAGUUGGAUGCUGUUUAUUUGAGCUUUAUGCUGGGAAAGUCUUAUUUCCUGGUGCAACUAAUAAUGACAUGCUUCGUCUUCAUAUGGAAUUGAAAGGUCCAUUUCCGAAGAAGAUGCUUAGAAAGGGUGCAUUUACAGAUCAACAUUUUGAUCAAGAUCUCAAUUUUCUUGCCACCGAAGAGGAUCCUGUUACAAAGAAGGCUAUAAGGAAGCUGAUUGUCAACAUCAAGCCAAAAGAUAUCAGUUCAAUAAUUUCAGGUUCUCCGGGUGAAGACCCAAAGAUGUUAGCUCACUUUAAAGAUCUUAUGGAGAGAAUCUUCGUGUUAGACCCAGACAAGAGAAUAACUGUUUCCCAGGCAUUGAGCCAUCCAUUCAUCACGGGCAAGUGAACGAAAACGAUGAUUUUCUGCUAGCGACAUGCGGUUGCACAAGAUACUAGUGCAUUGUGAUCAUAUGAUCUUAGUUUUUAUUCAGUUCUCUAAUCAUUGGGCCUUAUCUGUUUUUAUCUAUUAUCUACUAUCUUGAGUUAAGUGCAUUGGAGCUUGGCAUGGUUGAGGUUGCAGAGAAGAUUGUUGACCGUGGGAGAUCUAUAUCUUGGCAGUUCAUUCUUUCAGUGGAAUGUUUUCUUUUCUAUCGAUAUCUACCAGGGCUCUGAGGCAAGAUUCAGUGAUUUAGAUGCUUAAAAGGCACCCUGGCGAAGGUACCUUGGUUCGUUUGUUAGGAAUUACUGUGACACACUUAAAAUGUUAUGGCUGUUAGCCUGUUCUCGAUUCCUCUAACAUCAGCUAUAAUUUUUGUUUCUCCUUUGUGUUAAUUUUUAAUUUUCUUUUGACAAGUUCUGAUUCCUGAACUUUAAUUUGGUCUUUCCUGAAAAACUGCAUGCCUGAGGGGGGCUUGUUAAUGAGCCUCCUUAGGCUAGAAUAGUAAAUCUAUCAAGAGCAAGAGUAUUUCUUCUAUUUGGAGUCAUUGUUGUUUCUUCUAUUUCUUAUUUCUUUGUACAAAAGCACUUUCUAAUGAAGUUGCAUUGCAUCUGAUUCAUGGUAUGGUCAUCCUGGAGCAUUGUAUGACUGGAGAUGAUCAGAUGCAGCCUUGAAGUGAGAGUUGUUUCAGGUGUGAUUUCAUGCAUCUGCAAUUCUACUAGCCUAAGUUCCUUUGGAGUUGGAGAAAGUAGUCUGUAUUGGUUUGCUUAAACUGGUGCUCCAGUUGCAUGCUGCUCUAAUGCUGAAGUAUACCUGCGUUCGCCGGGCUUCUGUAGCCUUAGUAGUGCAAUUCUCAGUUAAGCAAGCUCGCUGAUAUUUUUAGGGCUGUGACUCUGUCUACUCUAGUGAUUUUUGUCGUUCAGCUAUAGGCAAGGCUUCUGUUGAUGUUCGCACUUAAUUUAUAUCAGUUAAAGAGUUUUUAUGUAUCCCUUUCACUGAUAAUGUGAGUUUACAUUUCUCUUAGUUGGAAGUUGCAGAAUCUCAUUGAACAUUCAGGUUAAAAGAAUUAAAGCUUAUAUCAGAUGCAAAUAUCAAAAAGAACCCUGUGGCCAGUAAAAGCAUUUUUAAAUGCAAAUGAAGCGGACUUUGUUGUAA